GUGGGGAAUAUUGGACAAUGGGCGAAAGCCUGAUCCAGCCAUGCCGCGUGUGUGACGAAGGUCUUCGGAUUGUAAAGCACUUUAAGUUGGGAGGAAGGGCAGUAAGCUAAUACCUUGCUGUUUUGACGUUACCGACAGAAUAAGCACCGGCUAACUCUGUGCCAGCAGCCGCGGUAAUACAGAGGGUGCAAGCGUUAAUCGGAAUUACUGGGCGUAAAGCGCGCGUAGGUGGUUCGUUAAGUUGGAUGUGAAAGCCCCGGGCUCAACCUGGGAACUGCAUCCAAAACUGGCGAGCUAGAGUACGGUAGAGGGUGGUGGAAUUUCCUGUGUAGCGGUGAAAUGCGUAGAUAUAGGAAGGAACACCAGUGGCGAAGGCGACCACCUGGACUGAUACUGACACUGAGGUGCGAAAGCGUGGGGAGCAAACAGGAUUAGAAACCCGGGUAGUCC
rnacentral:rRNA from 1 species